rnacentral:rRNA from 1 species
CAAUAGCGUAUAUUAAAGUUGUUGCAGUUAGAACGCUCGUAGUCGGAUUUCGGGGCGUUCCGACUGGUCUGCCGAUGGGUACGCACUGGUCGGCGCGUCCUUCCUUCCGGAGACCGUGCCUACUCUUAACUGAGCGGGGGCGGGAGACGGAUCGUUUACUUUGAAAAAUCAGAGUGUUUCAAGCAGGCAUCUCGCUCUUGCAUGGAUUAGCAUGGGAUAAUGAAAUAGGACUUUGGUGCUAUUUUGUUGGUUUCGAACACCGGAGUAAUGAUUAACAGGGACAGUCAGGGGCACUCGUAUUCCGUCGAGAGAGGUGAAAUUCUCAGACCAAUGGAAGACGAACCACUGCGAAAGCAUUUGCCAGGGAUGUUUUCACUGAUCAAGAACGAAAGUUAGGGGAUCGAAGAUGAUUAGAUACCAU